UACGUAGGGUGCAAGCGUUAAUCGGAAUUACUGGGCGUAAAGCGUGCGCAGGCGGUUUUGUAAGACAGAUGUGAAAUGCCCGGGCUUAACCUGGGAACUGCACUUGUGACUGCAAGGCUAGAGUUUGGCAGAGGGGGGUAGAAUUCCACGUGUAGCAGUGAAAUGCGUAGAUAUGUGGAGGAAUACCGAUGGCGAAGGCAGCCCCCUGGGUCAAGACUGACGCUCAUGCACGAAAGCGUGGGGAGCAAACAGG
rnacentral:rRNA from 1 species